UACGGGGGGGGCAAGCGUUGUUCGGAAUUACUGGGCGUAAAGGGCUCGUAGGCGGCCUACUAAGUCAGACGUGAAAUCCCUCGGCUUAACCGGGGAACUGCAUCUGAUACUGGAUGGCUUGAGAUUGGGAGAGGGAUGCGGAAUUCCAGGUGUAGCGGUGAAAUGCGCAGAUAUCAGGAGGAACACCGGUGGCGAAGGCGGCAUCCUGGACCAUCACUGACACUGAGGAGCGAAAGCCAGGGGAGCAAACGGG
rnacentral:rRNA from 1 species